GACGAACCGAGCGACCGUUAUUCGGAAUCACUGGGCUUAAAGGGCGCGUAGGCGGGCGAUCAAGUCAGGGGUGAAAGCCCCCAGCUCAACUGGGGAAGUGCCUCUGAUACUGGUCAUCUCGAGGGAGGUAGGGGCGUGCGGAACUUCCGGUGGAGCGGUGAAAUGCGUAGAUAUCGGAAGGAACAUCGGUGGCGAAAGCGGCGCGCUGGACCUCUUCUGACGCUGAGGCGCGAAAGCCAGGGGAGCGAACGGG
rnacentral:rRNA from 1 species